rnacentral:rRNA from 1 species
GAACCAACACCGCGUGCGUGUAUGAAUGACCUCCUGCGGGUUACCAACUCAUUUUUGGCCGGGAACGAUUUUGGACGGUACCGGCGGAAUAAACCUCGGCUAACUACGUGCCCAGCCAGCCGCGGUUGAUACGUAGGAGUGCGAGCCGUUAUCCGGAUUUUACUGGGUGUAAAGCGCGUUGCAGGCGGUUCUGUUAAGUUGGAUGUUGAAAACUCCUGGCUCUAACCGGGAGAGGUCGUUUCGAUACUGGCUAGACUUUGAGGGAUGGUAGGGAAGGUGGGAAUUCCGUGGUGUAGUCGGUGGAAUGCGUCAGAUAUCCGGAGGGACCACCCAGUGGCGAAGGCGGCUUUCUGGACCUUUCCUGACGCUCAGACGCGAAAGUAGGGGAGCAAACAGGAUUAGAUACCCCGGUAGUCCUAGCCGUAAACGAUGUGCACUAGGUGUUGGAUCGUUCCACGUGAUCCGUGCCGUAGCUAACGCAAUAAGUUCACCGCCUGGGGAGUACGC